rnacentral:rRNA from 1 species
AACGAACGCUGGCGGCAUGCCUAACACAUGCAAGUCGAACGAGACCUUCGGGUCUAGUGGCGCACGGGUGCGUAACACGUGGGAAUCUGCCCUUAGGUACGGGAUAACCCAGGGAAACUUGGGCUAAUACCGUAUGAUGACGUAAGUCCAAAGAUUUAUCGCCUAAGGAUGAGCCCGCGUAGGAUUAGCUUGUUGGUGAGGUAAAGGCUCACCAAGGCGACGAUCCUUAGCUGGUCNGAGAGGAUGAUCAGCCACACUGGGACUGAGACACGGCCCAGACUCCUACGGGAGGCAGCAGUGGGGAAUAUUGGACAAUGGGCGAAAGCCUGAUCCAGCAAUGCCGCGUGAGUGAUGAAGGCCCUAGGGUUGUAAAGCUCUUUUACCCGGGAAGAUAAUGACUGUACCGGGAGAAUAAGCCCCCGGCUAACUCCGUGCC